AAUGAAUAUGAUGACGUGAUAAGAGAUGAUGAAGCAUGAUGUUAUUUGAUGAACAUGUGAAAUGAAUAUAGAUAUUUGCUUUCAUGGUAUUUAAAUUAAUACGAUAUGUUAGGCUUUUUAUCUCUAUGGGGAUUUUGUUUCUCCUCCAUCUGUUUUGAAACGACAUGAGAGAAUCGCUCCCUAUGGAUGAUGGUGUACCCUCUAACGAGAGUGGUGAUGCGAUAUGAUUGUAGGAGUCACCUUAGAAAUGUAUGACCGUGACUAUAAUUUAC
rnacentral:lncRNA from 1 species